rnacentral:rRNA from 1 species
GAUGAACGCUGGCGGCGUGCCUAAUACAUGCAAGUCGAGCGAACAGACGAGGAGCUUGCUCCUCUGACGUUAGCGGCGGACGGGUGAGUAACACGUGGAUAACCUACCUAUAAGACUGGGAUAACUUCGGGAAACCGGAGCUAAUACCGGAUAAUAUAUUGAACCGCAUGGUUCAAUAGUGAAAGACGGUUUUGCUGUCACUUAUAGAUGGAUCCGCGCCGCAUUAGCUAGUUGGUAAGGUAACGGCUUACCAAGGCAACGAUGCGUAGCCGACCUGAGAGGGGGAUCGGCCACACUGGAAGUGAGACGCGGUCCAGACUCCUACGGGAGGCAGCAGUAGGGAAUCGGCGGCAAUGGGCGAAAGCCUGACGGAGCAACGCCGCGUGAAUGAUGAAGGUCUUCGGAUCGUAAAACUCUGUUAUUAGGGAAGAACAAAUGUGUAAGUAACUAUGCACGUCUUGACGGUACCUAAUCAGAAAGCCACGGCUAACUACGUG